AACACCUCAGGCAUCUGAAAUGAUUCUGACCUACAAGCUUAUGCAGAUGAUAUAUCCAUCAUCAUCAAAGCUUUACAGAAAAUCAAAAGCCAAGCAGGAUGCGUGCAAGACAAGAACUUGGAAGCAGAAAAGAACAUGGAAACAACAACAAGAAAGAGAAAACAACAAUGAAGAUCAAGACUCAAAUAAAUAACCAAACAGCUAAAAUUAUAUACUCAGCCAGUAUCAUACUGGAAAUGUACGAACAACCAACGGCUAAGAUUGUAUAAUAGCUGCUAUGUUAUAAUCUUUUUAUAUACAAUUUAUGUCCUUGAAAGUUUCAAGUGACCAAUAAAUCCGCUGUAAGCCUUGUA